rnacentral:rRNA from 1 species
GCGAACGCUGGCGGCAGGCUUAACACAUGCAAGUCGAACGGGUAUCUUCGGAUACUAGUGGCAGACGGGUGAGUAACACGUGGGAACGUACCUUUCGGUUCGGAAUAAUACAGGGAAACUUGUACUAAUACCGGAUAAGCCCUUCGGGGGAAAGAUUUAUCGCCGAUAGAUCGGCCCGCGUCUGAUUAGCUAGUUGGUGAGGUAAUGGCUCACCAAGGCGACGAUCAGUAGCUGGUCUGAGAGGAUGAUCAGCCACACUGGGACUGAGACACGGCCCAGACUCCUACGGGAGGCAGCAGUGGGGAAUAUUGGACAAUGGGCGAAAGCCUGAUCCAGCCAUGCCGCGUGUGUGAUGAAGGCCUUAGGGUUGUAAAGCACUUUUGUCCGGGAAGAUAAUGACUGUACCGGAAGAAUAAGCCCCGGCUAACUUCGU